UCCAGAAACCAUGUGAGUCACCGUGCUGAGACAUAAUACUACAGGUUCCAAAUAAAUACGGACAGAGGCCUGAAUGCGGAUCCACUGAUAUUAACCUCCACUUGGCAAACAUCAGACGCCCAGGAGCAGCAAUAAUAGGUAGCGGGUAUAUCUCCUUUCCAACUUCUUCCUUACUGACCUGAUUUCUCACAACGAACUGGGGAGGAGGAUUCUACACAGGCUGGUAAAAGGCAAAAAACACCAAUAAAACAAACUGACAUUGGAAAAAGCUUUUUAUUACUACGGGAGGAAUCUCUCAGUCUUUGCAGAGGGAUCAAACAUUUUCUGUCCUGUCCGGCUCUUCGAGCCUGUGUCAACACCACGGACUUCUCUUAGGUUUCUCUAUCCUAUCCCUUGUGAGUUCGUUCUCACCUAGCUACUAGAACUUUUAUCAUCUCACAGUAGAAAACAAAAACCAAAAAGUCAAAACAAACAAAAAAAAAUCUACAUCACCAACCAGCAGCUAAUAACCCUGCCCCCCCAAACCCAAACAACUUUUCCAACAGUGGGAAUUUGAAAGGGAAAUAAAGCUUCUUGGGAUUCUGAAAAAGGCUUGCACAUCAUACCACACAAACUAUAAUACACACCUGGGUCUGAAUUUCAGCUUGAUGUGUUUAUCAUUCAGCAUGGUCACAGUUGCUUCCACAGUGAUUUGUUCUCGUGUGAUCUGUGGAAAUGUCAGCCCCAGAAACAGGAUUUCAAAGUUUCUUAUAGAGACACAGGAUUCAAAUGGUGAGAUAUAGCAUAUCUCUGCCAUGACAAAUACGUUUUAACUUGUUCUCUAAAUGCAUUUUCUCUUACCCCUUUCUUUGUUCUUUCUCUCCUCAUAAUUUUUUUUUUUUUUAAUCUGGCAACAGAAUUAAGUCAAAUCCUCGAAACAAACAAAACUAGAAUCAGCAGAGGAGAGCAGCAUAUGAAAAUAUGUCUUGAAGGAAAUAAAAUAUAUAAAAGCA